ensembl:rRNA 5S_rRNA 5S ribosomal RNA
AUCUAUGGUCACACCACCCUGAAUAUGCCCCAUCUCAUCUGAUCUUGUGAGCUAAGCAGGGUGUAGCCUGGUUAGUACUUGGAUGGGAGACUGUCUGGGAAUAACCAGGUGCUGCAGGUU